rnacentral:rRNA from 12 species
AUGCAUGGCCAUACUGUCCUGUGAUAGCCCGAUCCUGUCAGAUCUUGGAAGCUAAACAGGACCAGGCCUGGUUAGUACUUGAAUGGGAGACUGCCUUGGAAGACCAGGGACUGAUACACU